CCACAUCACGUUGAAUCAUCAAAGUUAAGCAACGUUGAGCCUGAUCAGUACUUAGAUAGGUGACCGCUUGGGAAUACCAGAUGCUGUAUG